GUAUAACGAGGCCCUGCAGGCAUUUUGCAGCAAACACUGUUUUUUGCAGAGAAAAGGCAGUGUUUACAUUACAGCCUAGGGAUACCUCCACUGACCACUCCUAAUAUGGCUACUAGAGGUGCUUCCUGGGGCAGUGCUUCACACUUUGCAGCACUGCCAUUCAGUGUAUCCACCCUCUGCAUGGAGAUACUGAACAUUCCUCAUAGAGAUGCAUUGAUUCAAUGCUGAUUGGCCUUGAUUGCAUUUGGCUUGUGCUGUCUCUGCACCUGAUCUGUCUCCUUGACAAUCUCAGACAAUCUCAGCCAAGCAUUGUGAUUUUGUAAUUGUGGCUGAAAAAACCAUGUCUUAUGAUGUCAGUCAAAUAGGUAGAUCAGGGGCAGAGCCAGCAGCAACAGAAGACUGGCAUAAAAGUAAGAUAUUACUAUAUUUAGUGGAGUGUC